rnacentral:rRNA from 1 species
GGGGAAUUUUGGACAAUGGGGGCAACCCUGAUCCAGCCAUGCCGCGUGAGUGAAGAAGGCCUUCGGGUUGUAAAGCUCUUUCGGCCGGGAAGAAAUCGUGUGGGCUAAUACCUCACAUGGAUGACGGUACCGGAAUAAGAAGCACCGGCUAACUACGUGCCAGCAGCCGCGGUAAUACGUAGGGUGCGAGCGUUAAUCGGAAUUACUGGGCGUAAAGCGUGCGCAGGCGGUUUGAUAAGACAGGCGUGAAAUCCCCGGGCUUAACCUGGGAACUGCGCUUGUGACUGUCUCACUAGAGUACGGCAGAGGGGGGUGGAAUUCCACGCGUAGCAGUGAAAUGCGUAGAGAUGGGGAGGAACACCGAUGGCGAAGGCAGCCCCCUGGGCCGAUACUGACGCUCAUGCACGAAAGCGUGGGGAGCAAAC